CCUAGGAUACAAAAAUAUGUUGUUGUUGUUGUUGUUGUUGUUAUUAUUUGAUUCAUUUUAGCAUGAUUAAAGGAGAUGAAAGGAAGAGAGAACUAAAUCGACCAAUACCUUAAAACGUAGAAAGAAGUGAAGAAAUCCAAAGCAGGGCCUAUGUUACAUACUUUCUAUAUUUACAUUUUCAACCUGAUCUGUAUUUGUAUUAUAAUUUAUCAUUGUUUUUAUAUAUAUUUAAAAAACAGCAGUAAAAAAUUGACAGGUAACGUUACUGUAUGUGAGAUUUCUUUAUAGUAAACACCAAAAAAGGGGAACCGUAUUUAACCGUAACGCCAUAACAUUCUCAGUUGUCAUGAUCCGGUUUUUCUCUGCUAUUCACCUUAUUUUCCACGACAACAAGGGCGGCGCCAUUGCGCUGAUUUUGUCAACGUACUUCCGGGUGCAUAUGAUGAGCAGCUGAGGCAGUGGCUGAAGGCGACGCGUUAAACUUAAAAAGCUCACUCAAGCGCUUUUAUGUUUGUUUCUUACCAAUUUUAAUGGACGGGGAGCCGACUGAGGAACACCCUAAUCCCAAGUAAUGGUUCGACUACGAUGUUCCGGUAACUUUAAACCACGCCGGGUGUUGAAAAGGUGGUCAGUUUCAGAUGCAUUGAUGUUUAGUGAUGCAAUGGACAACUGUGAGGAUGAUACAAUGAACAUGUUCCUAAACUGUGAUGCAGAAACACAAUGGGAGGAUCAAUCCGUCUCUGAACACAACUACACUUUAAAAUCACAACUCAACCUGAAGCAACCUACAUCUGAUAUGGGAAAACAACCUUGCGGUUUCCUGGACAGGGCUUAUGCUGGUCCCAGGCUAAAAUGCUUAUUUGAGCUACAAUAAUUUAAAAACACCUUGUACUGACAUACCUCAACAUAUAUGAGUGCCAUUGUUUUAUCACAAGAUGUGGUUUGUUUGUAAAAACUAAAAUGUCCUAAUAUAAUUAAGGCCUAGUCCUGUAAACCCUGUCCGAGAAACUGCUUCAAUGCUUCUGCUUCAUGUGUUGAGCUGGCACAAAUGUACAAAUCUCUGCUGAGAAACAACCAUCUUUGUCAGCUUUACACAGGGUUGAUAUUGCAUGCAUUACAUUUAGUCGCUAAGCACGUCACCAGUACAUACACCAACAGCUUCCAGAUAAACACUUGUGAUCAGCUCCUGAUGACUCUGAUAAAGCUGUGUCUUAAUUCAUUGCAGGGUGGUCUUGCUGAAAAGUUAGUUGUUUCUUAGUCCAUAGUUAUUUUUAUAAACCUUUACAAUUUGACCUGAUUUUACCUGUUGUAAAGUUACAUUAAACCUUCAUACAGUUUGUUAUCAGAUGUCAUGCAGUGAUAUUAAACAUUUACAAUGUGA